GGCCUUAGCUCAGUGGUAGAGUUUCUGCCUUGCAUGCAGAGGGCCACAAAUUCAACCCCCAGCAUCUCCA